rnacentral:rRNA from 1 species
AGAGUUUGAUCCUGGCUCAGAUUGAACGCUGGCGGCAUGCUUUACACAUGCAAGUCGAACGGUAACAGGCCGCAAGGUGCUGACGAGUGGCGAACGGUGAGUAAUGCAUCGGAACGUGCCCAGUCGUGGGGGAUAACGCAGCGAAAGCUGCGCUAAUACCGCAUACGAUCUAUGGAUGAAAGCGGGGGACCGUAAGGCCUCGCGCGAUUGGAGCGGCCGAUGUCAGAUUAGGUAGUUGGUGGGUAAAGGCUCACCAAGCCAACGAUCCGUAGCUGGUCUGAGAGGACGACCAGCCACACUGGGACUGAGACACGGCCCAGACUCCUACGGGAGGCAGCAGUGGGGAAUUUUUGGACAAUGGGCGCAAGCCUGAUCCAGCAAUGCCGCGUGCAGGAAGAAGGCCUUCGGGUUGUAAACUGCUUUUGUACGGAACGAAAAGGCUCUGGUUAAUACCUGGAGCACAUGACGGUACCGUAAGAAUAAGCACCGGCUAACUACGUG